UACGUAGGUGGCAAGCGUUGUCCGGAUUUACUGGGCGUAAAGGGCGUGCAGGCGGUCUGUUAAGUGCAGGGUGAAAGCUCCCGGCUCAACUGGGAGAGGUCCUUGCAUACUGGCGGACUUGAGGGGGGUAGAGGAAAGUGGAAUUCCCGGUGUAGUGGUGAUAUGCGUAGAUAUCGGGAGGAACGCCUGUGGCGAAGGCGGCUUUCUGGGCCCUACCUGACGCUGAGACGCGAAAGCGUGGGGAGCAAACAGG
rnacentral:rRNA from 1 species